UACGUAGGUGGCGAGCGUUGUCCGGAUUUACUGGGCGUAAAGAGCGCGCAGGCGGUCGUGCAAGUCGCGUGUGAAAGCCCCCGGCUCAACUGGGGAGGGUCACGCGAUACUGGUCGACUCGAAGGCAGGAGAGGGUAGUGGAAUUCCCGGUGUAGUGGCGAAAUGCGUAGAUAUCAGGAGGAACACCGGUGGCGAAGGCGGCCCUCUGGACGGUGACUGACGCUGAGACGCGAAAGCGUGGGGAGCAAACAGG
rnacentral:rRNA from 1 species